AGAGUUUGAUCCUGGCUCAGAGCGAACGCUGGCGGCGUGCCUAACACAUGCAAGUCGAGCGGACUGCAAGGAGGGGUAACUCUUCUUGCAGUUAGCGGCGAACGGGUGAGUAACACGUGGGUAACCUGCCCUUAGGAGAGGGAUAACUUGGGGAAACCUAAGCUAAUACCUCAUAAGACCACGGACUGAAAUGUCAGUGGUAAAAGGAGCAAUCCACCUAAGGAUGGGCCCGCGGCCUAUCAGGUAGUUGGUAGGGUAAUGGCCUACCAAGCCUAUGACGGGUAGCCGGGCUGAGAGGCUGACCGGCCACAUUGGGACUGAGACACGGCCCAGACUCCUACGGGAGGCAGCAGUGGGGAAUAUUGGGCAAUGGGCGCAAGCCUGACCCAGCCACCCCGCGUGGAGGACGAAGGGUCAUAGACCUGUAAACUUCUUUGGCAAGGGACUAAGGGCCGCGGAACUCGCGGUUUUGAAGGUACCUUGAGAACAAGCGCCGGCAAACUACGUGCCAGCAGCCGCGGUAAUACGUAGGGCGCAAGCGUUAUCCGGAUUUACUGGGUUUAAAGGGUGCGUAGGCGGCGGGAUAAGUCCGUGAUGAAAUGCCGGGGCUCAACCCUAGGCGCUGUUACGGAUACUGUUCGGCUUGAGUGCGCUCGACGCCUCUGGAAUGAGUGGUGUAGCGGUGAAAUGCG
rnacentral:rRNA from 1 species